AGCGAACGCUGGCGGCGUGCUUAACACAUGCAAGUCGAGCGAGAAAGGGGGCUUCGGCCCCUGAGUACAGCGGCGAACGGGUGAGUAAUACAUGAGCAAUCUAUCCUUGAGGCGGGAAUAACCCAGCGAAAGUUGGGCUAAUACCGGAUGAGACCACAGGAGGAAACUCCAGGGGUCAAAGGCAGCUUUCUUUUGGGAGCGGCCCUUCGAAGAGGAGCUCAUGUCCUANCAGCUAGUUGGUAGGGUAACGGCCUACCAAGGCGAAGACGGGUAGCUGGUCUUAGAGGAUGAUCAGCCACACGGGGACUGAGACACGGCCCCGACUCCUACGGGGGCAGCAGUGGGGAAUAUUGGGCAAUGGGCGAAAGCCUGACCCAGCGACGCCGCGUGGGUGAUGAAGGCCUCGGGUC
rnacentral:rRNA from 1 species